UACGAAGGGUGCAAGCGUUAAUCGGAAUUACUGGGCGUAAAGCGCGCGUAGGUGGUUUGUUAAGUUGGAUGUGAAAGCCCCGGGCUCAACCUGGGAACUGCAUCCAAAACUGGCAAGCUAGAGUAUGGCAGAGGGUGGUGGAAUUUCCUGUGUAGCGGUGAAAUGCGUAGAUAUAGGAAGGAACACCAGUGGCGAAGGCGACCACCUGGGCUAAUACUGACACUGAGGAGCGAAGGAGUGGGGAUCAAACAGGGUUUGAUACCCCCGUAGUGC
rnacentral:rRNA from 1 species